AUAGAUAAUUUGUUUAAGUUAAUAAAAUUAAUUUAAAUUUUUUAAGUGAAAUUUUAAAUUUAAUUAAUUUUAUAUGAAAAAGUUAAUGAAGCUAGAAAAUUUUAAUAAUAAACUAGGAUUAGAUACCCUAUUAUUUAAAAAGUAAAAUUCAAUACUUGAGUAGUAAUAGAUAUGAUCUUCAAACUUAAAGAAUUUGGCGGUGUUUUAGUCUAUUUAGAGGAACCUGUCCUGUAAUCGAUAAUCCACGUUGGACCUUACUAAAAUUUGUUGUCAAUUUGUAUAUCGCCGUUAUCAGAAUAUCUUAAAAGAGGAAUAAUUUUCUUAAUUUAUUAUUAUAAUUGAUGUCAGGUCAAGGUGCAGUUUAUAUUUUAGUAGAGAUGGGUUACAAUAAAUUUAUUUAAACGUUAAAUUAUUUGAAAUAAUGAUUUUAAGGUGGAUUUAAAAGUAAAAUAAUGGAUAUAAUUUAUUUGAUUAUAGCUCUAAAACAUGCACACAUCG
rnacentral:rRNA from 1 species